rnacentral:rRNA from 1 species
AGAGUUUGAUCCUGGCUCAGAACGAACGCUGGCGGCGUGGAUAAGACAUGCAAGUUGAACGCGAUUUUCGUUGUAGCAAUACAGCGGAGGUUGAGUAGCGCAAGGGUGCGUAACACGUGAGAAUCUGCCAUGAAGUUGGGGAUAAUCCCGAGAAAUCGGGACUAAUACCGAAUGUGCCCGCAAGGGUAAAGCUGGGGACCGCAAGGCCUGGCGCUUCUUGAUGAGCUCGCGGCCUAUCAGCUAGUUGGCGGGGUAAAAGCCCACCAAGGCUAAGACGGGUAGCUGGUCUGAGAGGACGACCAGCCACACUGGAACUGAGACACGGUCCAGACACCUACGGGUGGCAGCAGUCGAGAAUUUUUCUCAAUGGGCGAAAGCCUGAAGGAGCGACGCCGCGUGGGGGAUGAAGGGUUUCGAUCCGUAAACCCCUGUCAUUCAUGAACAAGUGCUGUGAUUGAACAUUUCGCAGCUUGAUAGUAAUGGAAGAGGAAGGGACGGCUAACUCUGUGCCAGCAGCCGCGGUAAUACAGAGGUCCCAAGCGUUGUUCGGAUUCACUGGGCGUAAAGGGUGCGCAGGUGGCUCGGUAAGUUUGAUGUGAAAGCUCAGGGCUUAACCCUGAAAUGGCAUUGAAUACUAUUGGGCUGGAGGUUUGGAGGGGGGACUGGAAUUCUCGGUGUAGCAGUGAAAUGCGUAGAUAUCGAGAGGAACACCAGUGGCGAAGGCGAGUCCCUGGACAACACCUGACACUGAGGCACGAAAGCUAGGGGAGCAAACAGGAUUAGAUACCCUGGUAGUCC